AUUGAACGCUGGCGGCAUGCCUAACAUAUGCAAGUCGCACGCGAAAGGGGGCAACCCUGAGUAGAGUGGCGGACGGGUGAGUAACGCGUAGGAAUCUACCUGGUAGUGGGGGACAACCCGGUGAAAACCGGGCUAAUACCGCAUACGAUCCACGGAUGAAAGCAGGGGACCGCAAGGCCUUGCGCUAUCAGAUGAGCCUGCGUCGGAUUAGCUAGUUGGUGGGGUAAAGGCCCACCAAGACGACGAUCCGUAGCUGGUUUGAGAGAACGACCAGCCACACUGGGACUGAGACACGGCCCAGACUCCUACGGGAGGCAGCAGUGGGGAAUAUUGGACAAUGGGGGCAACCCUGAUCCAGCAAUGCCGCGUGUGUGAAGAAGGCCUUCGGGUUGUAAAGCACUUUCGGUGGGGACAAACAAGGUGGAGCUAACAUCUCCGCCUCGGAUGGUACCCAAAGAAGAAGCACCGGCUAACUCUGUGCCAGCCGCCGCAGUAA
rnacentral:rRNA from 1 species